GGGGGUAUAGCUCAGUUGGUAGAGCGCCUGCCUUGCACGCAGGAAGUCAACGGUUCGAGUCCGCUUACCUCCA
rnacentral:tRNA from 1 species